rnacentral:ncRNA from 2 species
ACAAUUGUCAAAGGGGAGUAGCGUUAAGUGUGCAUGGCACACUUAAAACAAAGUCGUCAUUACAUGAUCCGUUUCGGCGGUCAUCGGCUUUGUUGGCACCAUUUGGAUGUCUAGCAAGACCUUUGCCUGUACUGGCAAAGGUCUU